AUGUACAGCAAAGCGGAAUCAAACGUAGCGGAGCUCAAGAGACUGGGCGCCACGGUGCUACAUAGUGUCAGUGUGAAGAAGAUGAAGAAACGCACCGAUCUCAUGUCUAGACGGUUUGACCGAAUAGUCUUCAAUUUUCCUCACGCCGGGUUCAUAGGGAAGGAGAAUCAGGUGCAUAUGAUCAAGUACGCGUGCUCACUCUCUCGAUACAUAAUAUGGCCAUCUUCUUCACUUGUCUAUUUCUUUCCCAUCAUUUGUCUGACACCUCACACAUGCCAGAGAGUUAACUUCGUAUUAACAUUUUCCUGUGUCGUUGUAGCGCCCAUCGGCUGCUGGUGCAAAGGUUCUUCCGCAAACGCGAGCGGAAGGCUCCGUCCCCUCGGCAAAAUACACGUCAGCCACAAGACGGGGCAGCCGUACGACAGGUGGGAAAUCGAGGGUCUCGCCCUCGAGUUUUCGCUUCUCAAGUUUGAGAUGGUCGCCUUCCGUAAAGAGGAUUACCCCGGGUAUAACCAAAAGAGAGGCGACGGUGACAGGUGCGACGAGGAAUUCCCUCUACGCAACGGCUGCACUUUCAAGUUCCAGCGCCGGCCUCGCUGA
rnacentral:rRNA from 1 species